rnacentral:rRNA from 1 species
GAUGAACGCUGGCGGCGUGCCUAACACAUGCAAGUCGAGCGAUCUUCUUCGGAAGAGAGCGGCGGACGGGUGAGUAACGCGUGGGUAACCUGCCUCAUACACAUGGAUAACAUACCGAAAGGUAUGCUAAUACAAGAUGAUAUAAGAGAUUCGCAUGGAUUUCUUAUCAAAGCUCCGGCGGUAUGAGAUGGACCCGCGUCUGAUUAGCUAGUUGGUAGGGUAACGGCUUACCAAGGCGACGAUCAGUAGCCGACCUGAGAGGGUGAUCUGCCACACUGGAACUGAGACACGGUCCAAACUCCUACGGGAGGCAGCAGUGGGGAAUAUUGCACAAUGGGCGAAAGCCUGAUGCAGCAACGCCGCGUGAGCGAUGAAGGCCUUCGAGUCGUAAAGCUCUGUCCUCAAGGAAGAUAAUGACGGUACUUGAGGAGGAAGCCCCGGCUAACUACGUGCCAGCCGCCGCAGUAACAC